AUGUAUUCACAAACUGGAAGCCAUUGUACUGGUUCUCCGUGUGUGAUGAGUCUGCCUUACAGGGAGAGUGCAGGCCCCAUCAUCAUCUCACUGUCUGUCCAGUGCACUGAGCAUGUUCUGCUCACUCUCUUUUUUCUCUCUCUCCCUCUCUCCUGUUCCAGGACAGCCAGGCUUUGCCCCAGUCCCUUGGACCCUACCCUUCAAUCAGAACCAGCUGGGACACCGUGGUGUCUAAUCCUUCUUGAUCUCUUCUUUUCUCUUCCCUCUCUUACCAGUCUGGAGAGGGAGAUGCAGGAGAAGGAGAUUGCGAAGGAAAUCCUUCAAGAUCCAUCAGGUGAACAGAAUUUGACUCCUUCCAGUCCUCGUGAUCUCUCUGCCUCCGGGGAGCCCCUCAGAAGCACUGCCUUUCCGUGUGAUGAGCCUCAAGUCAGCUUGACUCUGGAGGCAGCCACUCCUUCCUGGGAGGCUUGUCAGCAAGGGCCUUUGAGUGGAAACUUGAGUUUCCAAAGGUCAGAGAUGCAAACUUCACAAGCACAGCUGGAGCCAAGCAGCUGAGGGAGCAAUUAUCUGGGGCUGCAGCUGGACCAGUUCCAUUGCAGGGAUGGCAAAGCCAGGCUUGGUCUUUCCUCCACCAUCUGGAGCUUUGCAGCCAACAGUGUUUCUGGAAACCGAGGUUCACUCUUCCAAGGUAAGAAAGAAAAGAAGAAUAGGGAGCUGUAGUCCAUGUGUUGGGCGUCACAGAGUUGUGGGGGGAGGUGGCAAUGGGGCCUCUCCCAUGCUCACUUCAGGUCAGGUUGAAACCCGUGAUGCUCUGAGAGAGCGAGGUGGUGAGAGCCUGGGCUUUAGGAUCAGCUCUGCCCCUCGUCCCGGGUUUGCAUCUUACUGGUUGUUUACCUUGGCCAGGUUGUUUAUCCUCUUAGGUAUUUACAUCUCAAUUCCCUCAUCUGAAUCCCCUGAGAAUUAUGUCUGCAUUCCAUACUCUUACUCAUACUGCAUUAAUACUCUUGGGAGUAUUAAGGACAUAAUUUCCACAGUGUCUGAUUCAAUAAAAAUUGCUUGAUAACAACUAUGAGUAUGUCA
rnacentral:lncRNA from 1 species